AUCCUUUUGUAGUUCAUAAGUGAAAUGAUUGGGUUUUCAUGUUCCUUUGUGAGAUAUACCACCCUCAAACUUUGUUACAGCGUCAGCACAUUACCAAUCUGAUG
ensembl:snoRNA